rnacentral:rRNA from 1 species
UACGUAGGGUGCAAGCGUUGUCCGGAAUUAUUGGGCGUAAAGAGCGUGUAGGCGGUCCGGUAAGUCGGCUGUGAAAGUCCAGGGCUCAACCCUGGGAUGCCGGUCGAUACUGCCGGACUAGAGUUCGGAAGAGGCGAGUGGAAUUCCCGGUGUAGCGGUGAAAUGCGCAGAUAUCGGGAGGAACACCAGUGGCGAAGGCGACUACCUGGCCUGUUCUUGACGCUGAGGCGCGAAAGCUAGGGGAGCAAACGGG